GAUGAACGCUAGCGGAAGGCUUAAUACAUGCAAGUCGAGCGGUAGGUGGCUUCGGCCAUUGAGAGCGGCGCACGGGUGAGUAACGCGUACACGACCUGCCUGUCAGAAGGGGAUAGCCCUGGGAAACUGGGAUUAAUACCCUAUGGUAUUGAUAUUAUGAAUGAUAUCAAUUAAAGUUGAGGCGCUGACAGAUGGAUGUGCGUCUGAUUAGCUAGUUGGUAGGGUAACGGCCUACCAAGGCGACGAUCAGUAGGGGCGUGAGAGCGUGGUCCCCCACACGGGUACUGAGACACGGACCCGACUCCUACGGGAGGCAGCAGUAAGGAAUAUUGGUCAAUGCCCGCAAGGGUGAACCAGCCAUUCCGCGUGGAGGAUGAAGGCCCUAUGGGUUGUAAACUUCUUUUAGAUGGGAAGAAAAUGCUAGAUGUAUCUGGUACUGACGGUACCAUCAGAAUAAGCACCGGCUAACUCCGUGCCAGCAGCCGCGGUAAAA
rnacentral:rRNA from 1 species